rnacentral:lncRNA from 1 species
CCUUUGUUUUUUGUUGCUAAAACGACGUCGAGCAAAGGUCUCAUUAAAGGACUAGCCACGCUUGUUGCCCAGGGCUUGUCUUGACAAUGGUUGUUCAUGGGAGAAUACUCUCGCGGUGAAACUAACGACGUCGUUCCUGGCAAAGUCUCAUCAAUGUCUGGGAUAAUAAAAAAGAAUUUUUUUUAAAAAACACACCGACUAAUUUCUAUUUGCUAAUAAAAUAAACAAACUAUUUUGGAUCUCUAUUUAAUACACGAACUAAUUUAUGUUGCCUAA